rnacentral:rRNA from 1 species
AUGGCGGCGCCAAGGAUUAGAAAGCUCGUCACCGCGCAGGGAGCUUUCGACUCCGUCCUCCUCCAGGGACACAACGGGCAUCCCAUCCCGUGGGACGUUGUAUUGAAGAAGCUUGCCGAGCUGUUUCGCUUCCUCGCGUCCGCGUUCCCGGCGCUCGUCGCUGGGAUCCAGGAGUGGGCCACGGCACUAGAGCAGCCUUGGCCGUGCGGGCGUCGCCGGCCGAGAGGGCCGAACGGGGAGGAGGUCUACGGCCGGGACGGGCCGGUGGUGAGGUACGGUGGCCGUGGCGGCGGUGGGUACAGAGGAGGGAUCUUCAGCAUGCACCCCAACAAGCCCAUCGUUUGCUAG